AGAGGCGAUGAAGGGCGUGCUAAUCUGCGAAAAGCGUCGGCAAGGUGAUAUGAACCGUUAUACCCGACGAUACCCGAAUGGGGAAACCCAGUGCAAUCCGUUGCACUAUCAUGUCAUGAAUACAUAGUGGCAUGAGGCGAACCGGGGGAACUGAAACAUCUCAGUACCCCGAGGAAAAGAAAUCAACCGAGAUUCCCCCAGUAGCGGCGAGCGAACGGGGAGGAGCCCAGAACCUGAAUCAGUUUGAGUCUUAGUGGAAGCGUCUGGAAAGUCGCACGACAGAGGGUGAUAGUCCCGUACACGAAGAGGCAUGAGCUGUGAGUUCGACGAGUAGGGCGGGACACGUGUUAUCCUGUCUGAAUAUGGGGGGACCAUCCUCCAAGGCUAAAUACUCCUGACUGACCGAUAGUGAACCAGUACCGUGAGGGAAAGGCGAAAAGAACCCCGGCGAGGGGAGUGAAAUAGAACCUGAAACCGUGUACGUACAAGCAGUGGGAGCAUCCUUCGGGGUGUGACUGCGUACCUUUUGUAUAAUGGGUCAGCGACUUAUAUUCUGUAGCAAGGUUAACCGCAUAGGGGAGCCGCAGGGAAACCGAGUCUUAACUGGGCGUUAAGUUGCAGGGUAUAGACCCGAAACCCGGUGAUCUAGCCAUGGGCAGGUUGAAGGUUGGGUAACACUAACUGGAGGACCGAACCGACUAAUGUUGAAAAAUUAGCGGAUGACUUGUGGCUGGGGGUGAAAGGCCAAUCAAACCGGGAGAUAGCUGGUUCUCCCCGAAAGCUAUUUAGGUAGCGCCUCGUGAAGUCAUCUUCGGGGGUAGAGCACUGUUUCGACUAGGGGGCCAUCCCGGCUU
rnacentral:rRNA from 1 species